rnacentral:rRNA from 1 species
UACGUAGGAGGCGAGCGUUGUCCGGAGUUACUGGGCGUAAAGGGUGCGCAGGCGGCCUACCGCGUGGGGGGUGAAAUCGCCCGGCUUAACCGGGCGGGUGCUUUCCAGACGGGUAGGCUUGAGGGGCGGAGAGGGGCGCGGAAUUCCGGGUGGAGCGGUGAAAUGCGUAGAGAUCCGGAAGAACACCGACGGCGAAGGCAGCGCCCUGGACGCCAUCUGACGCUCGGGCACGAAAGCGCGGGGAGCGAACAGG